GAUGAACGCUGGCUACAGGCUUAACACAUGCAAGUCGAGGGGAAACGACGGGGAAGCUUGCUUCCCCGGGCGUCGACCGGCGCACGGGUGAGUAACGCGUAUCCAACCUGCCUCUGACUGAGGGAUAACCCGUCGAAAGUCGGCCUAAUACCUCAUGGCAUCGUCUGCGGGCAUCCAACGACGAUUAAAGAUUUCAUCGGUCAGAGAUGGGGAUGCGUCUGAUUAGCUUGUUGGCGGGGUAACGGCCCACCAAGGCGACGAUCAGUAGGGGUUCUGAGAGGAAGGUACCCCACAUUGGAACUGAGACACGGUCCAAACUCCUACGGGAGGCAGCAGUGAGGAAUAUUGGGCAAUGGGCGAGAGCCUGAACCAGCCAAGUAGCGUGCAGGAUGACGGCCCUAGGGGUUGUAAACUGCUUUUAUGCGGGGAUAAAGUGAGGGACGUGUCCUUCAUUGCAGGUACCGCAUGAAUAAGGACCGGCUAAUUCCGUG
rnacentral:rRNA from 1 species